CAUUGUUUUUUAAGCAGUAGAAUCAGCAGUAACUGCAGUAGAAGGAGGCCUUGGACUAUUGUCUUACACUAAAAGCUCUGCCACCUUCUGCAGGGACGGAGUCGUGCUACAUAGGUCUAGACACGUAUGAAACAGAUGAGUUGAACAACACCAGUAUCUGCACCAACAAAAUUUGCAACGACAAAGUGAACACAGUGGACUGCGGAGAAGCGGUGGCGCAGUGGCUGUGUGAGACGUUCGAGAGACCGGAGCUGCGUCUGUUGCGGCAGCUGCACGAUGACAGUCGACACAGCAAACGCAAGGACGUGGCAGCAGGAGAUACAGAGAAUGUGCCUGGUUUGCAAAUCUUGACUGAUGGUGAAUCACGGGCCUUAUCAUCUGUCACGUCCAUCCAUCUACUCCCCUCAACGAUCGGCAUCAGUCGAGGGAUGAAUAAAUGUCCACAAACUACCAGCACGUGGGGAGCUGUAGUAUCUACUAAGGUUUAGCAGCAAAGGUAAAACAUUUCCGCUCAUGCACA